AAACUAAAAGGCAGUCACUCCAGCGGAAGUUCUAAGGAACUCCUUUCAUUGGCCCAGGGUCUUGGAGAAGGUGGGGCUUCCUCCCAGGAUAAAAUUCCGUGUCCACACACCUGGCCGGAUUUGCAGCUCUCUGGAA